rnacentral:rRNA from 1 species
AUGUUGCAGUUGUUGCACAGGCUUCCUGUACGUGAAUUGUUACCUAUUUUCUUUUUUACCACUGUACUACACAAUGAGAAUGCAAUGUUAAAUUUUUUUUUUGAGACAUGUGUUGAUGCUUUCAUAUGCAUUUUUGCCAUAUUUUUAUUAAUCAUCGGUGCGUUGCUGUCUGUGAUUGACGUGGUGUUGCCACCUCGCCGGGCUGAAUUGAGCAGACUGUUAGUCUCGGGUCGAAGUGAAAGCACCGGUAAUUUGUCUGUGGUCGGUGCUGUGCUUGGCCCUUGCCUGUUAGCAUCUCUGAGCACUAGCGAUUACCUAUUAGACUUGCCGUGCGGCUGUGCACCGGUGGUAGUUUGUUGGCAGUCGUCCUUCUGA